UCCCGGUUGGUGUAAUCGGCAGCACGACGGACUUUGGAUCCGCCAGCCCAGGUUCGAUCCCUGGACCGGGAGCCG
rnacentral:tRNA from 1 species